rnacentral:lncRNA from 1 species
AGUAAAAUUAUCAAACGUUGACAGGUCCGCGGUGAUAAAAAGGUUGGGGAACACUACUUUACAUGGUAUAAUAAAGCAUUGGCUCCUUGCACUAAAUCUGGCCUUUAUUUCAGUUUUGAUGAAAUUAUCUUCCAUCAUAACAGAUUGCAGAUUGAAUUCUGAACUGAAACUCUCUGAUAUUCUACAUCAUUGUAGAUCUUUAUUGUCAAUAGAGUUUCUCUGCUGGUCAAAAUCUCUUUGCUAAACCUUAAUAUUAUAUUACUUAAUGUGAUUUUAUUGUUACUUAAUGCUAUUUUUAAUGGAUUACUUCAUAUUGUAAUAAUUGUUUUAAUAUCUUAAAAUAUAAUAAUGCUUUUUUUUUUCCUCACGGAAAUUUCAGCUGGAUUUCAAUGGCUUGGAACUGUUCUUGCUUGGAAUUGCAUGGAUUUGUUCUGCUGUACUUACUGUUCCCAUAAACAUCCUCAUAGAAAUAGAUUAAUCAGGCAUUUACAGAACCACAAACUUGAAGAAAACUUCUUAUGCAAAUUUUGUCAAAAAUUUUAUAGCAGGAAGGACCAUUUAAAAACUCAUAUGAUUUUGCAUCAGCUAUAGAAGAAAUAAGCUAUGAGAAGAAUAAUUUUUUUUUUUUGCUAAAAAUACUGGGGUUGAGCAAAAUACUCGUAUAACAAAUUGCUGUAUAUAAAUAAUUUUUCUUUUAUUACCAUAAGCGGAGAACCACUGAAUUUUUUGAAGGAAUUACUGCUUUUGCUUUGCAAUCUUUGGCACAGAGUUAAAUAUAGGCAUUCUGGCAGGAUGUAGACGGAUUGGCAAUAUGUUAUACUGUUCAUCUUGCUCUUAUAAAAAUAAACACAAAAGCCAGUUACUCCGACAUUUCCUUGUACAUACUAAAAAUAGUGCAUUAAAAAAAGAGCUGAAUGGAUGCCAGCUUAUUAACGAUGUACUAUACUGUUUAUAUUGUCCUUAUAAAAAUAGGCAUAAAAGUAAGAUGAUUCGACAUUUGACUACGCAUUCUGCAGAGAGACCUUAUGUUUGUAAUGUGUGUAAUCGUGGUUUUAAAAGAGAGGAUAUUUUAGAAGCACAUGUGCUUACCCAUUUGUGUUAGUGCAUGUUAAAACUGAAUUCUAUUCAGUUGUAUUUGGUAUUUUUUAAACUGUAUAUCUCGGUGUUAAAAUUUUUUUAUCUGUGUUGAUAGUUUUAUAAAUAUUUUCAUGAUUAAUCCUCUUAUUGCAUAAUUUUUUUCUUAAAAUGCAAUAAGAAAUUGCAUAUUUUUUAUUACAUAUUUCAAAUUGAUAUAUAUUUUAGAAUUAAAGUAUACAAAAGGUUUUUGUUAAAGAGUUUCUUUUCAAUACAGAAUUAUAAAGGUUGUUAGAAAGUGCACAAAGAAAUCCAUAAAAUUCUCAUCAGAUUGCUAUAACUGUCUUCAAUAUACUUUAAAUUGGAACUGCUAUCUGUGUCAGAAAUAUUGUCAGGAAUGUCUGUUGUAUCUCUCGCAAAACGCUUAUUGCCAGGCAUGUCUGAGCUUUGAAAAGACCAUUCAAAAUACUGCAAGACAUGCUUGAAUAUUUGCAGAAAUAUGAACAGCUAAUGCCAACUGUUAUCCCAGAUUUGUAUAAACAAGCAUUGCAGAAAAACCUAAAUGAUACCGUAAAUGGGAAAAGAGUGAGUUGUACAGUUAAAUGGACAGGAAAACGCAUUCCCACAGAAAUUGCCAGUUUUUCAAAUUUUCUCAUCUACGUUGCCUAUGGAAAUAGCGGGAUACACAA